rnacentral:lncRNA from 1 species
CACCUAAAGCAAAACCUAGACAAUGCACACAUAUGAUACAAUACACUGAUACACGCCUAUAUAGAACAAUAGAGACGACUGGAAUUUUGUUGAGUGCAGCUGCACAGCUUUUGACACAACCCCCUUCCCUGGCUUUAUCUUCUCCAAACGACCCCCCCUAUUCAUCUUCCUGAGAAGCCAUUGAAAAUGGGUAAGUUAACUGAUUUGAAGAAGUAUUAGCUGAAGGAAGCAACAGAAGCUAGAAAAAAACAUCAGGAAUUAAGAGAGGGACGAAACAAAGGGAUUUGAGGGGAGAAGGAAUCACGUUUUUUUUCCGGUUGAAACAAAGUAAGGAAGGUCACGGACAGAAUAACAAGAAAACAGAGUAAGGUUUGGGGGUCGUCGUUUGUCGCCGAUUCGAGGUUCCAUUUUUGUCGAGCUCUUGUCCAAGCUGUUUCCGGGUCUAAAUAUGUAAUCAGAUGCAUGGAAACUGUUUAAGGAGCUGAAUCCUUGAGUUUUGUCAUGUCUGCAAAAUCAUCGACAAUAAGGUUGUAAAAUAGGUUGAGGGAAUUAGAGAAAUCGAAAUAUUGAACAUUGGAAUGACAAGUCCCAAAUUGCAUAUUUCAUUCAUCUUCAUUUCCAUAUUUUUGAUUGUGUCAUUGUGGCCAAUCUUGGUACCUUUCCAGCAUAGGAUUUGAGCCAUGAUUCUUGUGCUUGUGUACUUCAACACUUACAUUUGUGAGCCAGCAUAAGGUGGAAAAAGGCACAAAGUUCAAGUAAGCAUUUCUCAUUGGUAAAAUUGAGUUUUUUCUCUGAAUAUCUGUUCAAAUGUCAAACUUUUUUUGUACUAAAACAUUGUCCAAGUAAUGGUAGAUUCUUCAUCAUAUGCAUAACUAUUUUUAAUAUAGCUUUUAUUUGUUUUUGUUCAUGUAUUCCGCAUAGUAUGGAGAUUUGUUUAUGUAUUUCUCAUGGUAUGGAAAUUAAUAACUCUCUGUAUCGUAGUUUGCUUUAAGAAAUUUAAUUAAAUUAUUACAACUACGGGUACGAUUUCCGUGGCGUAGUUGUGGUACCUAAUUAGUCUUAAACAUGAAUAUCUGUAGUUCAUUUAGUUUAAUGCUUUUCCUUCAAUAAUUUGAGGUAUGCUAUGCCAAAAAAAGUUUAUAGGCCAUGGACCUCACUUAAUUAAUGUUAAUCCAUUAGAAUCAAGGCGCGCUAUUUAGCGAAUUUUUAUGGCCCUCGCGAAUCUGAGAUGCGUAACUUCUUUAGGCGUGAUAGUUAAAAAUCUAUUUUCCUAAACACGGGUGUGCAUUUAUGUGACCCAAAUCCAAAUCUCAAUAAUGUUAGAUAAAAUGAAUCUUGGACCGCUUGUGCAUUUAUGUGACGUGGUUCAAAGAUGUGUUUUAUAUGACGUUGAAUAUUUCCUAAUAAUAAUAAUAAUAAUAAUAAUAAUAAUAAAAGCGGCUAAAAUUAAAUUUUUCAUAUAGGUUUAUAAUUGUUUAAAUCAGAUAAUUUCAGCCGAAUAUGACAGUUGAGCGACCGUGCUAGAACCACAGAACUCGGGAAUGCCUAACACCUUCUCUCGGGUUAACUGAAUUCCUUACCCGUAAUUCUGAUUUGCGGACUGUUAAACAGAUUCAUUCUUUUCUCAUUCGGGUUUCUAAACGGUGACUUGGGAUACCAUAAAUCUCCCAAGUGGCGACUCUGAAAUUCUUUUAAAUAAUUGAAUCCCGAUUUGAUUGUCCUUUAUUUGGAAAAACUCCCUUAUCUACGCCCUUCGCCGGGUUGUAUCCAAAAAGAAGGUGUGACAGCUCUGACGACUCUGCUGGGGAAAUCGAACCCAGAGUCUCUGGUUCAGGGUUUAAGAAUUUGAGCUUAGAAUAAUUAUUGUGUUUGGCUUUGUUUAUUAUCUGAUUUUACAUGUUGGCUUAAUGUGUAAAAUGAUGCUUUUACCGCUUUGAUAUUAUCUGAACUAUACAUAUAAACUACUACGAAACCCUUCUCUUCUCACCCCCGGGGAUGUGCUUACUGGUUGAGACUACCUAUUCUAUUAGUGUCAUACCCUGAAAUAAGAAAGAGGCCGGAUAAGUUACUAAGCCGGAUGGCCUUUUGAUUCCCGGUACGUAGCCCCCUCCUUGACUCGAGUUGUCUGCUCGGGUCCACUGUCUGGAACAUAUACCAAGGUUGUUAAUCUAGAAUAACUCAGCCUCAUGCUGGAUCCCUAGUAGGAACGCUUAUUUGCAUCAAGCAUUUGACUUAAGGGACUCAACACUGGGGUUGGGUCCAUCUAGGACAGGUGUACUCAAAUUAAAAGACCAUCCCAAUGCAUUUUAUAUGCCACAUGUUGCAUUUUUUUCAAGGGUAAAAGGGUCAUUUGGCGGACCAAUGAUAGCUGAGGGUAAAUAAAAAAAUGAGAAAAAAAGAAAAAAAAUUAAAAAGAGAGGGUGAAGUGUGGAAAUAGAGCAAGUAGGGUGUAGUUAUAUUUUUGUCACAUUUUUAUUUAACAAAAUAAAAGAUAUAUGAAAAAUUCAAAAAAAUAUUUUACUCUUUUUCAUCAUUUCCUGAAAAUCAAAUAAAAAGAAAAAGAAAAAACAUUUCAAAAGAGUUUACAUGUUUCAUAUUUUUUUUUCUUCCAAAAAGAGACAAAAGAAAAUGUGUUCUUUAAAAAUUAGUUUUUUUUAUUAUUCUUGCCCAUAUCUAAUUUGCCGGAACUACACAAACCUGAUUCUCGUCUUUCGGAGCAUGAUACGUAGGCAACCCAGACAUGGUCCGAUUUUUCUAAUAAAUCUUAGGUUCUUGGUUUUGCGGGGCCAUAUCCAAAUUUUGCACUUCUAGCCACUUUUAGCCAUAGGUUAGUUUUAGAAUUCAGAAGUUGUUUAUUAGAAAUUGUGUGAAGUUAUGUCAAUGGACUCUAUUAUUGAAAUUCUUAGAGCUAAAGUUGGAAUUCUCUUGUAAAACUUCUUUUAUGCAAGCGAAAGUUCUGUUGAGAUCAGUCUUUGUUUGUUGGAGCAUUGUUUUGUGAUUUUAACUCAAUCUAUGAAUUGUUCGUGAGACAAUGUUUGAAAGAAAAUCCCGCAUUGAACACCAAUUAUCUUUGUGCUAAGACUGUGGAGUUCUGAAGCUUGUCUUGUUGAAGUUUGCCACUUUUGUGAAGUUUUUGGAGUAAAUUGAUAGUUGAAAUUCUCCUAGUUUGAACUUGUUACCACUGGUUUCUAAUAGUUGUUAUUAUUGUUGAGUUUAAUAGAGGGAAUUUAGUGGGACUAGAGAUUGAGCAUGCUUGCAUUGUGAUUUGGUUGAACAUACACUAAGCUAAACCUGUCGGAAAUUUAUGUUAGUUGAGAUUGUGCUCAAGUUUAGCAGUGAUAGCUUGAAAUCUAGUUUUUACUUCUAAAAUUUUCUCCUUGUUGAAUUGAGUGCUCUUGUUACAUAAACUAUUGUCCAGUUGGUUAGAAUUUGCUGACAGAAGUUGCUUGUUUGCUGGAAAAUAAUUUGCUGCUUGUUUUCUGUUGCUGAAAAGGAUUUCAUACUUGCUUUCCACAGCCCUACAUUGUUCAUUUUUCGCUCAACAAUAGAGAUUUCCACAUUUCUUUAAUUGAUUGUUGUUACUAUUGUUUUUCUUAACUUCUUGUUUCUUGUCGAUGUAAAGGAUUUCAUACUUGCUGUCCACAGCCCUGCAUUGUUCAUUUUUCGGUCAACAAUGAAGAUUUUCACAUUUCUUUAAUUGAUUGUUGUUACUAUAGUUUUUCUUAACAGUUGAGGGAAUUUUGUAGAAGUUUUAGCUUCAGUUAGCUCAAUUGCAUUGCUUCAGUUUAUAUGCCAACAAUACACUAUUGAAAUUCAAGUUUUGAGCUAUUUUUUUAAAAGCAGAUCCCGUACUAUUCAGCUGUACUUUGUGGUUAUUCUGACUAAAUAUUGAUGUGAUUCUAAUGCUUUGUUUCUACAGGUGAGGUCGUCAUUCUGGGCCGAAAUUUCUAUGCCUAUUGCUGCUGAAUUUAGUGCUCAAGGUGUUGCUGAAGUUAUGAGUUUUGAGAAGUGAUUGAAUAGUGAACCUGCCAGCUUGUUUGAAUCUUAGAAUUUUGCAUUUAAAUGAAAUUUGUUGAUGUAAUACAAGUUUUCUAAGAAUUAUUUGUAUUUUUCUACAAUAUUUUGUAAACCUGAAACUAG